CAUGACACCAAACCCUUAAUUUGAAGCAUACAUAUAAACAGCCUAUGAUUGUGAUCACAAUGCACCAUUUCUUAUUUAUUUUAUUCCUUUUUUUGGUUCUGCUUUGGACAGAGACAGGCAGUUCUUAUGAAAUGCAACAUAAAAAGCACUGGUUGUAAAUGGCAAGCAGUUUCACCUUUAGUGUUUUACAAAUACCUUGAUUUCUGUAUUAAAUUUCUUGUCAUUUUUAAUAAACCUAAGAAACAAACUAUUUGAGUAAUCAGACUCCUUUGUGUUUAUGCUUUGUACUUGUAUCCAGACACAUCUCCGUGGUGCUUUGUUCUUUUGGUGAGGUCUUAGCUUAGUGCAUCCUUUCCCCUCACUAUUUACUUUUCCUCAAAAGCUGUUUUUUGGACACCCUCUUCUCCAAAACAGUGUUUUAUAGCCUUCUGUCAUGGCAAAUUUACAAUAAUGAACUACAAAUGUAAGUAUUCUUUCUUUUUAAAUUUCUCUAAAUUUUUAUCUAUUUAUCUAAAAGAUAAGUAAAAAAACAUUCUUCUUGAAUUAAUAAAAAAUGGAAGAAAAUAUGUGUCACAUUAAGAAAGACAUAAAUUUAAACUUACAUUGAAUUUAUAUACCGUUAGUGGAACACACCUCAUAAGCAAACAUUUUAUUUUUUAAUUACUUAAUUGUGCCUUCUUAAUCACAGAAUGAAGAUUUAUUUGUCCUUCUAAAGAGAAACUUUAAUCAAAAUAUUCUCUAGUUAAAACACUGUAAAUUUGUUUGAUUCCCAGUGAAAUGGAAUCAGAAGGUAAAGAUGGCAGGAAGACUAAUUUUGUGCAUCCACAGCAUCCUCUCUCUCACCCAACUACUGCUACCAGUGAACUGCAGUGGCAGGAGCACCAUGCAGUUAAAUUUUAUUCAUAUCCUUAACUUUAUUAACAAGUCUGAGACACCUACAGCAUGCACACCCACACACCUGCUAAGCCAAUUUACAGGCAGGGAAAGCAGGCAUUUGCUGAAUUCCUGAUUCCCCAUUGCUCCACACCUGAGAGGCAGCUGCCCAUGGGAUGUGGUGCCCUCAUCUCCCCUCAAACACAGCAGCUCCUGCCCCCCUGCUACAGGCAGGAAUUACAGGCAGGUAGGGACCACAGGUAGGGAUUACAGGUAGGGAUUAUAGGUAGGAAUCACAGGCAGGUAGGAAUUACAAGUAGGUAGGGAUUAUAGGUAGGAAUUACAGGCAGGUAGGAAUUAUAGAUAGAGAUUACAGGUAGGAAUUACAGGCAGGAAUUAAAGGUAGGGAUUACAGGUAAGGAUUACAGGUAAGGAUUACAGGUAGGAAUUUGCCAUAGCUGCAAUUCCCAUGCCAUUCCCUGAGUGUGCAGUGGGACACAGGAAUGUGGCACAUUUCCAUCUGGCCAUCACUGGUAUGUUCACUGUGGAGAGCAGCUUGUA